AUGCUUCUCCUAAAGACUAAGCCAUGCAUGCCUUCGAAUACGAGGAAGCAAUUCUCUCUGAAUCUGCGAACGGCUCCGCAAACCAGUUGUAAACUAUAGCAAGCAAGCCCCGGGGUCUGCCUUCACGGGUGGGCUCUGGGCAACACGGAUAACCCUGGUAAUUCUGAGGCUAAUACGAUAACGUAAUCCCUGGUUGACCGGCUUCGGCUGGGAGGCUGGGAAACGUGUGAUAUUUUCGCGAGGAGACACCGGGAAAGGACGCACGUUUGGACCGCGCUAAAGACGGAUGUUGCUUGAGACCCCUCACGGGGAGGAAGGCUUCGCCCGAGCGGCUCUUGCGGUGUGCUUCUGACCUAUCAACUAGACGGCAGCGUAACGGACAUGCUAUGGUUACAACGGGUACAGAGGAUUAGGGUUCGAUCCUGGAGAGUGGGCCUGAGAGAUUGCUCAUACUUCUAAGGAAGGCAGCAGGCGCGCAACGUUCCCCUUGGGCAAUGCCCGAGGGCGUUAGGGGACAUAUGAAUGCCUGCCCAAUGGGUGGGCAAUUCAAAUGGGUCUGUUGUAAACAGGCUC
rnacentral:rRNA from 1 species